GAUGAACGCUAGCGGCAGGCUUAAUACAUGCAAGUCGUGGGGCAGCAUGAGUAGCAAUACUUGAUGGCGACCGGCAAACGGGUGCGGAACACGUACACAACCUUCCGAUAAGUGGGGAAUAGCCCAGAGAAAUUUGGAUUAAUACCCCGUAACAUAUAGAGUAGGCAUCUUCUUUAUAUUAUAGCUUCGGCGCUUAUUGAUCGGUGUGCGUCGGAUUAGGUAGUUGGCGGGGUAACGGCCCACCAAGCCUACGAUCAGUAGCUGAUGUGAGAGCAUGAUAAGCCACACGGGCACUGAGACACGGGCCCGACUCCUACGGGAGGCAGCAGUAAGGAAUAUUGGACAAUGGGCGAAAGCCUGAUCCAGCCAUGCCGCGUGAAGGAUUAAGGUCCUCUGGAUUGUAAACUUCUUUUAUUUGGGACGAAAAAAGGGAAUUCUUUCCCACUUGACGGUACCAAGUGAAUAAGCACCGGCUAACUCCGUGCCAGCCGCCGCCGUAA
rnacentral:rRNA from 1 species